rnacentral:tRNA from 1 species
GGGGGUGUCGCUCAGUGGUAGAACAAGUACAUAGCAUACACAGGCCCUGAGUUCAAUUCCCAGCACCACCA